AACGAACGCUGGCGGCAUGCCUAACACAUGCGAGUCGAACGAGACCUUCGGGCCUGGUGGCGCACGGGUGCGUAACGCGGGGGAACCUGCCCUUAGGUUCGGAAUAACUCCCCGAAAGGGGUGCUAAUACCGGCUAAUGUCUUCGGACCAAAGAUUUAUCGCCUUUGGAUGGGCCCGCGUUGGAUUAGCUAGUUGGUAGGGUAAAAGCCUACCAAGGCGACGAUCCAUAGCUGGUCUGAGAGGAUGAUCAGCCACACUGGGACUGAGACACGGCCCAGACUCCUACGGGAGGCAGCAGUGGGGAAUAUUGGAAAGUGGGCGAAAGCCUGAUCCAGCAAGGCCGGGUGAGUGAUGAAGGCCUUAGGGUUGUAAAGCUCUUUUACCCGGGAUGAUAAUGACAGUACCGGGAGAAUAAGCACCGGCUAACUCCGUG
rnacentral:rRNA from 1 species